rnacentral:rRNA from 1 species
CGUGUCUCUAGUGUCAGCCGCCGCGGUAAUACAGAGGAUCCAAGCGUUAUCCGGAUUUAUUGGGUUUAAAGGGUGCGUAGGCGGCUUAUUAAGUCAGGGGUUGAAAGACGGUGGCUCAACCAUCGCAGUGCCCUUGAUACUGAUGAGCUUGAAUGAACUAGAGGUAGGCGGAAUGUGACAAGUAGCGGUGAAAUGCAAUAGAUAUGUCACAGAACACCGAUUGCGAAAGGCAGCUUACUAUGGGUUUUUAUUGACGCUGAGGCACGAAAGCGUGGGGACUCAAAACAGGAUUAGAUACCCUGGUAGUCCACGCCCUAAACGAUGAAUACUCGCUGUUAGCGAUAUACAGUUAGCGGCU